rnacentral:rRNA from 1 species
AGGCUUAACACAUGCAAGUCGAGCGCCCCGCAAGGGGAGCGGCAGACGGGUGAGUAACGCGUGGGAAUCUACCCUCUACUACGGAAUAACGCAUGGAAACGUGUGCUAAUACCGUAUGUGUCCUUCGGGAGAAAGAUUUAUCGGUAGGGGAUGAGCCCGCGUUGGAUUAGCUAGUUGGUGGGGUAAAGGCCUACCAAGGCGACGAUCCAUAGCUGGUCUGAGAGGAUGAUCAGCCACAUUGGGACUGAGACACUGCCCAA